rnacentral:lncRNA from 1 species
UGUGAACAGGGCUCACGGACGUGGACAAUGCCGACUCCGGGGGUGUCCAUUCAUGCCAUGCUGACCCCAUCGCCUUUUGUGUUUAUGAAUCCUCCUCUGUCUUCAUGGAGGCGUCUGGCUCUUGGAAGCGGGCUCCCUCAGCGAGGCAGAGGUAAGCGUCUACCUUCAGAAGUCGGAUUUAUCUGAGGCACCCUGGGAGACAGCGAGACCAACUUUAAAGUUUGCUGCAAAACUUUGAAAUCCAGAAAUCUGAAGUUUGCUUUGGGCAUGAUGGAGACUUUGAAGAAUUUAUUUACCCAUUAAACGAAAGAGGGAGUUAAAAAAAAGAAAGAAAGAAAAAAAAAAUCAAUGAUCACACCACGCAAGGCAGGGCGAGGGGCUGCGUCUGU